UUUUAGCCCCGAUAGAAGUGAAAAUCCUUUGUGGGCUGGAGUUCAGCCCACAAAGAUUACUUCACUAUACUUUUAUUUUCAUAUGAGUUCAGUGAACUUCGUUUGUAACGGAAAGCGGGACAACUG
rnacentral:sRNA from 1 species